UGCUCUUGUCUUGUGAUCAUUCACGAACAAAUCUUUCGCCUUUUACUAAAGAUUUCCGUGGCUGCAGGACAGAAAUGGAGCUGACCCAAAUUUUUUGUUCCUCUUUUUCUUUUACGAAAGAA
rnacentral:snRNA from 1 species